rfam:Chelonia mydas contig154079, whole genome shotgun sequence.
ACCAGAAUGGCCGAGAGGUUAAGGUGUUGGACUUAAGUUCCAAUGGAUGUGUGUCUGCGUGGGUUUGAUCCCCAGUUCUGGUA